GUUGUUUUUAUUUUUACAUAGUUGCGGAUUGAUGUCACAAGGAGGGAGACAAACUACCAGACACUGACAAUGCGGACGUUCAGAUUCCUUCAGUGUGUGCAAAGAUCAUUGAGGAUGCAUAGAAAUCCAGGCAUCUGCAGGAAUCUUCAAUGGCAGAAAGCAUUUUCCACAAACUCGUUUUUGCUAUAUCACAAAAGAACAGAGUACUAUCCCACUGACAAAAUCAAGAAUUUUGAAGAUUUCGAGAAAUAUGCCAGCCCUGAAGAAAAAGACCGCCUGGAGUUUAUCCGAUCAGAAUUCAUAGACUACUGCAGAGCAGGAAAAUUCCAAAUUCUUGAGCCUACAGAUGAAGACUGGCUUAAGUGCAUGAACUUUGAGACCAAAUCUUCACGUCUUUCAUAUUUAAAACAAUGUGAAAAGAAGAUAAUGGAGAAAGUUAAAGCUGCCGAGAAAUUAAAAGAACCAAGCCGGAAAGUGGAACGAGACAAUCGAUUAGAUCCAGAUGGUCAACAUCGAUUUAUCCGAGCGAUGUUUGACCAUACUGUCAACAUGAUAGCUGACCAUCGUAUGGCCCGGGCGGCUUUGUUUGAAGACCCUAUCGUGGUUGAUUUUAGUUUUAUCGAUUCCCUGUAUUAUCAUGAAAUACGUGAUGUGGCUCUACAAUUAAUGUAUGUGAGGAGUCUUGCCAAAAUGUCUGCAUUUGAAAGAACCCCGACCCUUAAUCUUAUCUUCUGUAAUGUGCAAAAGCCAUGGGAAGAAAAUCAAAUUUUCAAGGUCCUUGAAAGCCGUAAUCAAAAACUUGAAGACAUAGCAAAGGGUCCAGUAACCAUCACUGAGAAGAGUUACCUGGACUUGUUCCCAAAGGAAGAUUUAGUGUACCUCUCACCUGAUGCCCGACAUUAUUUCCACCCAGACGAUGGAAUUCCAAUAAUUGGGGGGAUUAUUGACACAACAACAACAGCAAAAUUGUCAUACGGGAAAGCCAAGAAGGAGGAUUUAAAAAUCCGCAAACUCCCAAUUGACAUGGUUACCAAAGUGUAUGGAAACAAGUGUUUAGCUCUGGAUCAUGUUGUCAACUAUAUAAAUGUCCUGAGAUUUACAGGUGAUCCAUACCAAGCCUACAAUGUAUUGCCACUCAGGAAAAGAAGACCUCCAAAGAAGUUGCAAACCCCAUGAAAUUUCUUGACUAGUGUGAAGUGACACAAUAUUCGUGAUAAAGUAUAGAACAUGAUUGCAUAAGGAUGCAUGUUGUUGAGUAUGAAUAUGUAAUCCCUGCAGAUCUUGUUGAACUACUUCUGAGAUCAUUAACAAGACAGUAGAUUCUGCAACUUGACAUAUGACAUUCAGUAUUUUCUAACGGUACAUCAAAACAUUGUGCAGAUUUUAUGCUUUGAUAUUCGAUGGAACCGAAUCAAGGAAAAUGGUAAUUACCGGUACUCUAAAAGUGUUGAAUUGAAAUAAGAUUGAAUAUCAUACAUGGUGACAUCGAGAUCAAAUCAACAUUUACUAAAUAAA
rnacentral:misc_RNA from 1 species